AUGAACGCUGGCGGCGUACCUAAUACCUGCAAGUCGAGCGAACAGACGAGGAGCUUGCUCCUCUGACGUUAGCGGCGGACGGGUGAGUAACACGUGGAUAACCUACCUAUAAGACUGGGAUAACUUCGGGAAACCGGAGCUAAUACCGGAUAAUAUAUUGAACCGCAUGGUUCAAUAGUGAAAGACGGUUUUGCUGUCACUUAUAGAUGGAUCCGCGCCGCAUUAGCUAGUUGGUAAGGUAACGGCUUACCAAGGCAACGAUGCGUAGCCGACCUGAGAGGGUGAUCGGCCACACUGGAACUGAGACACGGUCCAGACUCCUACGGGAGGCAGCAGUAGGGAAUCUUCCGCAAUGGGCGAAAGCUUGACGGAGCAACGCCGCGUGAGUGAUGAAGGUCUUCGGAUCGUAAAACUCUGUUAUUAGGGAAGAACAAAUGUGUAAGUAACUAUGCACGUCUUGACGGUACCUAAUCAGAAAGCCACGGCUAACUACGUG
rnacentral:rRNA from 1 species